CCUACGGGAGGCAGCAGUGGGGAAUAUUGCGCAAUGGGCGAAAGCCUGACGCAGCGACGCCUCGUGAGGGAUGAAGGUCUUCGGAUCGUAAACCUCUGUCAAGAGGGAAGAAACCNUUGGAUUCGAAUAGGGUCCUUGGCUGACGGUACCUNAANAGGAAGCACCGGCUAACUCCGUG
rnacentral:rRNA from 1 species